rnacentral:rRNA from 1 species
UACGGAGGAUGCAAGCGUUAUCCGGAAUGAUUGGGCGUAAAGCGUCCGCAGGUGGCUGUGUAAGUCUGCUGUCAAAGAGCAAAGCUCAACUUUGUAAAGGCAGUGGAAACUACACGGCUAGAGUGCGUUCGGGGCAGAGGGAAUUCCUGGUGUAGCGGUGAAAUGCGUAGAUAUCGAGAGGAACACCAGUGGCGAAGGCGAGUCCCUGGACAACUCCUGACACUGAGGCACGAAAGCUAGGGGAGCAAACAGG